rnacentral:rRNA from 1 species
AAAAACUGAGGUGGUAUACGAUGGUUCCGCGUCUGAUUAGCUAGUUGGUGGGGUAAAAGCCUACCAAGGCAACGAUCAGUAGCCGGCCUGAGAGGGUGAACGGCCACAUUGGGACUGAGACACGGCCCAAACUCCUACGGGAGGCAGCAGUGGGGAAUAUUGCACAAUGGGGGAAACCCUGAUGCAGCGACGCCGCGUGAGUGAAGAAGUAUUUCGGUAUGUAAAGCUCUAUCAGCAGGGAAGAAAUACUGACCAUAGGGUCAGCAGACGGUACUUGACUAAGAAGCCCCGGCUAACUACGUGCCAGCAGCCGCGGUAAUACGUAGGGGGCAAGCGUUAUCCGGAUUUACUGGGUGUAAAGGGAGCGUAGACGGCAGCGCAAGUCUGAAGUGAAAUGCCAGGGCUUAACCCUGGAACUGCUUUGGAAACUGUGCAGCUAGAGUGCGGGAGAGGUAAGUGGAAUUUCUAGUGUAGCGGUGAAAUGCGUAGAUAUUAGGAGGAACACCAGUGGCGAAGGCGGCUUACUGGACUGUAACUGACGUUGAGGCUCGAAAGCGUGGGGAGCAAACAGGAUUAGAUACCCUGGUAGUCCACGCUGUAAACGAUGAUUACUAGGUGUUGGGGGACCAAGGUUCUUCG